UGAUCAGCUGGUUAAGACGGCCCUGAUUACAUCUACAUUAUCUUUUAAGUCAAAUCAUUUUUUCCCUACUCUUGAGACGUAUUUUCUGCCACAGAGAUAUCCCAGUCUGACAGUUGGUUUAAACUUGUAUUUAUUCAAGCUGGUGGAUAAAAAUAUGUACUGGUUUAGUUAAAAAUUUAGCCUAGAAAUCUAGACAGACAGUGGACGAAGCAAAUCGAUUUUGCUCUACAUAUAAGAUGGUUUUCAGGCAGCAUGAGCAUUCCCCAGUGGCCUUUUAGACAAGCCAUUUACCUGCUAUAAUGUUAAGCUGGGCGUACACUGUGCGUACACUGUCCCUCGCAGGGCAGAUCACGAGUCAUGCGCUCACACUGCACGACCCAGUUCUCGGAUGCGACCUGACUGCUCACACUGUACGUCUGGUAGCAACACGUCGGCCCUAAAAAUAUGCUAAAAAUAGCAGUUUUUACUCAACACGUCAGACUUUUUUGUCUUGUUUUGCCUGUUGUCCUUCGGGAGAGCUGCAGGAGGACACACAGGGAUUUAUGGGGGUUGGAUGAGGAAAACGAAAUAAAGGCUGUGUCUCAAUUCAGGGUCUGCAUCCUACCUCGGCCGGAUUCGUCGGCCGGUUACGUCACAGCGCCGCGACUCGGCCUGUCCCAAUUCGAAGACUCCUUCAAAUGCGGUCGACGAAUGCGGCCUUCUUUUCGCCUGAAUGAAGGAUGGGUCAGGUGUAUCCUUCAAUAGGUAGCAUUUCCCAAGAUGCCUUGCGGGCCGGCCGGCAGAAAAACUUAAAAACAAUGGCGGAAGGUGAAGCGGGAGCUGUCGGAGAGGAUUGCGCAUAUAAAUGUAAGUAUAAACUUGAAAACUGUCAGUUUAAGGACUUUUUGUGAUACAUGAACGUUAUUUUAGUUAGAAAUGUUACAGUAAAAGUGCUUGUAUUGCGGUCUCGGCUCGUAUGUUCGGCCGCGCUCGGUGUCGUACUUCUCCCACUACGUUUCCCCCUGAUUUUAAUAGAAGUUUGUAUUUUAGGACCAAAAGAGAAUACCAGGGAAUUUAUUAAGCUUAGGGCGGAGAUGGACCACAUGAUCACCGGAGCAAAGUAUUCGGCGGCUGUGGCAUGGAGACUAUUCUGGAGAAAAUGGGCAUCCAGGGGAAGGUGCCAGCGAUGAGCUUCUGGAGCUGAUCUGGGAGGACAUGAGGCUGCAGAGCAGCAGAGAGCACAGGAGAGAAGGAAGAACUUUGACAGCUUUUUACUUUGCUAGAAAAAAAUGGUUAAUGAAGAUUAAACAUGUACAUGUAAAAGAAAUAUCUAAAUAAAAUCAGUUCUGCAUUAAA